GCUGGAAUAGCUCAGUUGGUAGAGCAGCCGCCUUGUAAGCGGCAGGUCGUCGGUUCGACUCCGACUUCCAGCU
rnacentral:tRNA from 1 species